AAAAAAAACCCAAACAAACGUGCUUAUUUGGUGCUUGGAGAACUCUGUUUGGAGAGUCAGAGUACAAGGCCCAGAAUCUGCAACUUAAGAAAGGAAGUUGUUAGCAUUUAUUUUUGCCUGCUGUCACAUCUUUUGAGACACAACUAGUUCAUCAAGAAUCAAAGUGACAAAACGGCAGAAGAUUUGCUGUGCCUAUAAAACAGGUCAAACCAUCACGAAUGACAAUUUUUGAAUAAAUAGUUUCAAACAUUUUUCUGAGGAAGUGGAAGGAAAGCACUGGUACCUAGCUGUGUAUAAGGAGAGCUGGAGAAGCAGGCAGGCAGGCACACACGUGCACACAUUCACUCUGGCACACAAACAGGGGGAAUUUGGAGGCCAAGACUCAGAUCUGCCUUGGGGAAGCUGAGCAAAGAUACUGUAGCUGCUCACCAUGAAUCUUGUUACUUGAUGUUUAUUUUUAAUGCUAAGAUUCAACCACAUGCUGCUCUAAGAGGAUUGUUCUGUCAAUUUCAGGGCCAAUUAGAGGCUCUCAAAUGAAGUUCCAGGCACCAUGAGGCUGCAGCUUAGCUCAUCGUGAGCAGGGAGUUGCUGACUACCCCAGGGGCUGGGAGCCGGGAACUCCCACGGGAGACAAACCCAGCUGCAGUGAACGUUCCCUUGUCAGCAGAGGUGGCGCCCAGCGAUACAUCUUUGGCCUUCGCUUACAGGGUUAAUGAUCAUCCAGGGAGGCAAAGAUUACCCUCCUUUAAACCGCAAGAGCAGAGCAGAGUGCUACAAGUGAUCUAUCACCCCAGACAAACUGUUUGCUUAGGACUGGAGCUCACCAAAACAUUGUCCAGCAAACACUACGCAAUGCUGGGAGUGUUGCUCAAGUGCCUCAUUUCCCCUGUAGUGCUUCAAAUGCCUGUCCUCUGCGGGCAUGACACGUUUUAACAGAAUACGAAUUAUUUUACUAAACUCACAGCAAAUUGUUUACAGCUGUUCGCAGAGUACAACCAGCUGGAAAAGAUGAGUAACUUGUCGCGGUUGCCCCACCUAUCCUUAUUUAUUGGUGAGAAGCGGCAGCGCUGCUGGCAUUGCCGCACGGCAUUAUUUGAACGCAGAGAGGCUUCUUGCUUACGUCGAAUGCGGAGUAAACAAAGUCGGGCGGUGCUGGCAGAGGCAGCAGCGCUUCGCUGCGGCCACCAGAGCGAGCUGCUGCUCAACUUUUGAGCGAGGCUGCGGCCGCUGCUCCCGGCAGGAGCGCUCCCGGCAGCGCGUCCCGCCGGGCACGGCUGGGACCCGCAGCGACCCUGGAGCGAGCGGCCGGGCUGGCGCAGGGCUCACGCUCCAGUGCGGCAGGGCGGGGGACAGUGUUCCGAAACAGAGAGAAUUGUGCCUAAAUAAACAAAUUUUAACUAAAAUGUCGAAGGUGGACAGUGGAAACCAACCUUCCAAGAGCAGAGUAGGCUGAAUAUUGAGAUUAUUCUGGAAAGAGGUUGGAUCCUUCCCACAGUAAAGAACAAACCUUCCUGUGACGCUGACAUUAAAGGCAAGGGCCAAGCACACCAGUCAUGGAGAAGGCAUCACCACCCCCACUGCUUGCAUCCACAAUCUAAAUGGAACAAGAGCUCCUCUCUACAGCGGAAGUUGCUUGGGUUGUGCAGGUGGGGAGAGAAGGAAACCACUCACUGUGUGGGAUUGCCCGGUUGCAGUCACGGCACACGUUCCCCGCUGGAAGCCCGGCCGCUCGGCUCCGUGGCCGCCAGAUGGCAACAGCUGGAUGAGGAGAUGAGCCGGCACACGGGAGCGCGACCGCGAACUGUCCCUGGCAAGAG